CAAUGACUAAGCUCCAAGUACAACACACAAAACUGGUUUGAGAAUUUUGAAACACUCACAAUACAGCUUCGGUAGCAUCAGUGGAGGAAAGGCUGGACCCUGUAUUUGUGUUGUGUACCCUCACUCUAGGAGGUGUCUUCACACUAAGAGAUGGCCACUCAGCUUCUGGCAUUAUCACUCUGCAUCUACUUUGCCAAGCUUCUUCUUUUGAAACGUCUUGUGUAGGCAGUAGUUAUGAAUAUGCCACCCAGAAGAAUACCAGAUGAAUAAACUUACAAAUAUUUUGAAUAAAGCUCAAUCUAACAAUAGAUAUUUGAAUGAAAAUACUGGAAUCUCUUGUAAUAGCUCAGAAGGUAGCUUAAGUUUUAGCACAGGUGGUAGGAUCACAACACCUUGACCAGGAC
rnacentral:lncRNA from 1 species